UUUAUUUUCAUCUUUCUUCACCAAAUGUAGAAAAGAAAAACAAGGUUUGAAAGCUUGAAACAUUCGGCCAUUUUGAAGCUUAAUUAAAGAUCAAGAAUUAAAGAAAUUGGAUUUGGAUCGGGGAAAGACAAAAGUGGUCGAGUAGCCGACUUAACAGUAGACGACAUCCGAGGUAAGCCUAUUAGCAUAUAAAUGUUGUUGAAUUUGCAAAUAUAUAAAUGUUAUUUGUUGAAUUGAAUUUUGUGGAUAUAUAUGUGUAUUGGCCGAAUUUGUGAUAAGCCAGGAAGUUUUAUUUCGUGUUUGAUUCGAUCGAGAUACGUUGUUCGAAAGCCGUAUGAACCUUAGGAAUAGAUAGGAUACAUAUGUCAUGACAUAGGAUUUUCGAUAUAUGUUAUCGUGUAAGACCACGUCUGGGACGUUGGCAUCGACUUGUGUUUACGUGUAAGACCAUGUCUGGGACAUUGGCAUCGUAUUUGAUUCGUGUAAGACCCUGUCUGGGACAGUGGCAUCGAUAUGUGAUUACAUGUAAGACCACGUCUGGGACGUUGGCAUUGUACGAGUCUUUUGACUAUCCGAGUAUCCUUUUUAAUUCCGAAUGGUUCAACGGGCAAAGAUAAGUUGUGUACGAAUGUAUAAAUCAGGCUAAGUGACCAGGUAUGUGAUAGUUGAUUACCUAUUUGAAAAUAAGGUAAGUUGUAUACUUGAAUUGAUGAUAUGAAGUUAUGUGAAAUAUGAAUUAUGUGAUUGCAUAUUUGAAUAUAUAUGUAUUCACCUUUGAUGUAUAUGUGCAUUGAGGAAAGUGAUGAUUGAUUAUAUUAAUGUUCAAUUGAUUAUUCGGUAAAGAGGGAAGUUAUUACAAAUUAUAUAAGUUUUGAUAUAUAAGUUGAUAAAUUGAAUUAUAUGUGAAAUUAUAAUGAUUUAUUACUAAUUGUCUAGCUUAAUUUAUGUAAAUGAUUAAAUGUUUAUUUGCUUAUGGCUUACUAAGCUUUAAUAGCAUACUGUGUGUAAUCGCUUUCAAUUUUAUAGAUUUGGAAGUUGGUUAAGAGCACGGGAAUCGUCAGAGAAGUCUAUCACACUAUCGACUGUUUUCGGUAUUUUACUAAGUCUGAAUUUAAACUUAUGGCAUGUAUAGUCUAGUUAAUAUGUUUGAUUUUUGGGUAUGUAAAUAUGAGCCAUGCAAAAAAAAAAUGGCUUAUUUAUUUUGUUAAGCAUGGUUUUUAUACUUUUGAUCAAGUGAUAGAUAUGUUGAUUUUGGUAUUUCAGCUAUGGCAUAUUUAUUUAUGUGAA